AGAGUUUGAUCCUGGCUCAGGAUUAACGCUUGCGAUGUGCCUAAGGUAUGCAAGUCGAACGAUUCCUGUAUCUUCGGAUACAGGGAGUGGCAAACGGCUGAGUAACGCGUAGGAACCUACCCCAAACUCGAGUAUAGCCCCGCGAAAGCGGGGGUAAUCCUCGAUAGUCCGUGAAGUAUUUUACUUCACGGUAAAGCUUUUGCGGUUUGGGAUGGGCCUGCGUCCUAUCAGGUAGUUGGUGAGGUAAGUGCUCACCAAGCCUAUGACGGGUAGCUGGUCUGAGAGGAUGGUCAGCCAGACUGGGACUGCGACACGGCCCAGACUCCUACGGGAGGCAGCAACUAGGAAUUGUGCGCAAUGGACGAAAGUCUGACGCCGCGACAUCGCGUGGAGGAUGAAGGUCUUCGGAUUGUAAACUCCUUUUCUUACCGAACAAGUUCUGAGUGUAGGUAAGGAAUAAGUGCCUGCUAACCACGUGCCAGAAGCAUCGGUAAUACGUGGGGCACGAGCGUUAUCCGGAUUUACUGGGCGUAAAGAGAAGCGUAGGCGGCUCGAUAAGUUUGGUGUUAAAUCUUCCGGCUCAACCGGAAACAAGCACCAAAAACUAUCGAGAUUGAGUCGAG
rnacentral:rRNA from 1 species